UGAAUUAACUUUAAAUUAAACAAUGAAAAACACGCUUAGUCCAAAAGAUGAAUGAGCUCGGGUGACUCAGCUGGGAACCACCGGGCCGGAAAUCGCCUCUAGCAGUAAUGGCCACCAGAAAGGGAAAUUGAUGCCACCAUCAGCUUCGUCUCCUCACGCUCUUCCUAAAUCUUCCCUCAAUUUCACUAGAUUCUAAGCCUAGGCUCAUAACCUUACCAAAUUGAUCAAGAACCUUAAUUACAAUUACUUAAAUUAAACCCUCAUCUUGGGGAUUUGAAGCCCAUGGGAUUGGGCUUUGAAUCCCCUCUCACUACUCUACAUCAUGGCAACAAGGAUUCUGAUAAAAGUAAAGGUUUUGGCAUUACCUUGCCAGAGGUGACGACAUUAAUGACGACAUUAAUGAAGACAAAACUUCCAAGUCCCUUUUGCAGGUCCACUCCAAGGUUAACAAGUUCUGGUUGCAGCAUAAUUUAGUUUGUUCUUGCACAUGCGGUGCAAAAUUUUGGAUAUGGAAUGCACUUGGGGAAAAAGGGUUGCUUGUUCAUGAAGCAACUUUAAUCAUGGAAUUGAAAUGGAAGAUGGGACAAUGAGGAAUCAAUAUGAAGCAAGUAGGAUUAGGCUUAGGAAAAAUAUGAGUUGACUUUGGUCAAAGUUGACCAAAGUCAACCUUUGGUCAAAGUGAUAUUUUUUUUGUAAUUUUUUGGAUGUUUGAAUAUUCUUAUGAUUUGUAAUGCAUGAAAUUGGUAUUCUUGUGAAUGAAAUUGACAUUGAACGGAUCUUGUAUGAACUUGGUAUUGAAUUGAAUGAAUGGUGUUUGAAUUGAAUGAA